CAAGGGAGCAGUAACUUUCUGGAUAAAGAUUGUUCUCUUCUUGGGCUGUUUCUGAUUUUUGGUAGGGUACCCUGGCAGCCAAAGAUGUUUUAAUUAUGGGAAACUCAGAACAGAGAAGACCAAGGAAUCCUACACCACAAAGACAAGAAGUUACUAUUAAACUGGUCUUGGGGGAGUAUAAGAAGGAAAUCCUUUCACGCUGAGUGCGCAAGGAAUCCAAACUUUUAGGAGUUUUCAAAGGAUAGCAGCCAAAGGAUUUCUGUGGAAGUCAUGCAAGUCCUGUAUUAAAUAAGUACUUGCGUACGAGAAUGAAACUUGUAGAACUGUAUAGAAAGAACAACUUUCAUCUACAUAAUGAUACAGCAUAAAUAGAAAAGUACUUAAGUGCAUUAAAUCGAAUUCAACAGAAGGACUUCUGCUGACCUUUUUAUGCUUUGGAUUUUAAAUACAACACUCCUGGGAAAAAAAAAACCAUUUCCAUUAGGUGAUGCUCAGUUACUUUUUCACUGCAUUAGAUAGUGUAACUCACUACUGGCAUAAUAUAUAUAAUUAUCAGGUAUCUGAGAUUUCUAACUUCUUUCUUUCUUCAACAAAGGUUAAUUUUAUUAAGAACCUAAGUUUUUUUAACAUUGAAUAGUCAUCUGCAAUUGUGUGGAAAAAUUUUAAUGACACAUAAAAACUUGUCAGAAAAUGUUUAGAAAAAAGACAGUUUACUUUAAAUGCUCUAGCAUCAUGGCUUUCGAGAUGAAGUCACACUUAUAGACAUUGUUAUAUUGUAGAGAAUGGUCUGUGUCUUUUGAUUGCAAGUGUUUUCCAUUCUACAGAUCUCUUGCAACAACUCUAAUAAGAAAUUUCACACGCAUCUAACUUCUGUAUAACAACCCAAUGAGCUCAAGCAAACAUAUCCCUCUGUGUUAAUGCGUGCAGGGACCAUAUGAGAAUAGGAAGUUUCCCCUGCAAGAUGCUAUUUAACAAUGUAGAGUUGGUUGACUGAAAAUAGUGCUUUUUACACAGUAUGCUUAUUGCUUCUCUACUUGUCCUACGGAUAUUAUGUAUACACAGAUAAUGUUCCAGACAGAGAUGGACAACAUUCUGUCUGUCCACAAAAGCAGGUACGUGCAUACCUGUUUAUGUAAGUAGCUUCGAAAAAUUUUGAAACCAUGAAAGUUUAAUAUUACUACAGAUAAUAACAAUAUAGAUUAUUUGGUCGGUUCCUUACGUAGUUGAAAAGAAUAUCUGGAAUUUAAUUUGGAGGCCUUCAGCUAGGCUAUUUUAUUUAAUUAGAUCAUCCAGUUCUAUACAACUGUUCUGUCUUGCACAACUGAUGCUAGCUCCAGUGUCAAAUACUUGUCAUGUACUGUACAUUAUUUCUAUGGCAGUCUUUAUUUUUAAUAAAUGAACAUAAUUAUGCAAGUUAAGAAGAAGACUCUAAUGAGAAAAGCAAACACCUAAUUCUUCCAGAACUCUGUGCUUAGCAUACAAACUCUUCUCUUUCAUUCUUCUUUCCUGAGAAAAGUGCCCAUAAUCUUGACAUUUUCUUUUCAGUAGUGAAAGCUCCUCAGAAAUGACUCUUGCUACUGUUGUUAUUUAGCCUUGAUUUUUAUUCUGCAUCUUCUUACAUUCACUUUUGUUUUAUUGUUACUUUAUUCAUGUCAGAAAUAAAUCAAUUGAAAAUAUUUAAUCUCACAUAUUACUGAUAGUCAUCUUUUCGGUUCUUGGUACCACUCCACUAGACUUAUUCUGCCAUUUAAGUGAUUGCUUCAUAAAUUAGGCACUUCAAUGUCUUAAAUGUUCAGUCAGUGUCUUAAAUCACAUUAUGACUUCAAUAGCACAACACAGCAAUUCUGAAACAAAUG